GGCUGGCGGGGUGCAAAGCCAGGCUUCUCCCGCUUGCAUCUUAAGGGCGGGUCUGGCCCAGCGCCUCCCGAGGCCGCCCGCCCAGAGACUGGUCCUCCGGUAUUACCAUUUCUGUGUCUGGGAGGUUUCUCUUCUUUCCUGUGUCUGUUCGUUUCCGGAUUCCAUUUUAAAGUUUACAAUAAAUGUUUUGGGGUUGGCUCGACCCCCACCGCACUUCUCUUUGGCAAGUCCGUUCCCUGGGCGCCCUCCGAGGUCCAGCGGAGGGCUCACCCAGCGAGAGUGAUUUCGCGGCGGGAAGAAGUUCGCCGAGAGGACAGACAGACCACGCAGCUGGUACGUUAGGAAUGCAAGAAGUGAAGGAGCACCCAACAGCAACACUUUGUACACGGAUGUGCCUGCUUUUGUUGAUACUUUCUUACUGUAAAGCUCUCCAUAAACAGUGAAAAUGUUUGGUAAACUUAUUGCAAUUUAAAAUUGGUGAGUUCCUUUAUUAAAUUAAUUACUAUUGGAGAUAUUCAUCACAUUGGGGUUAGAGGCUGUGUACACACCCAUCAGUGUGGGGGGAAAUGGUUGAGUUUGGUCAGACAGAUGCUGAGGUUGAACAGUUGUAUUCUGCUAGCUGGUUCACUAAAUCCAGCCUCUUUCUGAGGCUAAUUUUCUGUGUGUAUACCAGGUCCCAUACAUUCUUUUUCUGGAAAUUGGCGAUGGGGAUUUUACUGCAAAGCUGAGCUUAUUUUGGUUAAUACAUAUGAACAAGCCAAUCCUAUUUUGGAAAAUCAGUCAUAGUUUUUUCUGGUAAAGAUUAUUUUCCUGUUGAUUAAUUCACUAAUCUGGUAAUUUUGAACAUUAUGACAUUUCAUUUGAAAUAUACCCCUUAAAUAGCCUUAAUUGAUGUGAAGGUCAUGCUUUUAAAUCACAAGGAUAUGCAUGUGUGUGCAUGUUCACACACACAAUGGGAUGUGUUCCAAAUGAUGGUGAAGCUUGCUGGGAGCCAGGCAGGCUCUGAAUCUUGGGAAAAGGUGAUCCAGCUCCCGUGUGCUGGAAUUGUGGCACCAGGCAGGUAUGCUGCUAAUUCUGGAGUGCUCUAAGCAGAGCCCCACAUGAAAAAAGCUAAAGCAAUAAUAUGUAAUCUCUUUAGAGUGUAUAAAGGUCCACUUUUAAUUGUGAAAAAAUAGCUAGAUUUAGUGUUGGAAAUGUAGCUUCCAGAUGCAGGCUCUUGGGAAGACCUCUCCCCAGCUCCCAAGUGCCCUGCCCAAAGCCGAGUUCCACUGUACCCAGUGACCAAGGCCCCCACCCAGCUGGGCCUGACUGGGCUGCAGCAGAGGCUGCUGGAGAGAUGAGGUCCCCUUUCCACGCAGAGAAGUGGAGACCUGUCACAUUCGGUGGAGGGGGCAAAGCCAUCAUACUGCUGCUUGGACUGUUACUUUGAAAUGCAGAGAUACUGAUCAAAGAGGCCACGGGCAAUGUCUUCUCUUCAUGUUGAUGCCACCUGAAGAGAAAGAAUCACGCAUGGUCAAUCUGCUUGGUUCUUAUCCACAGACCUCUUCAGAUACUGGUCUUUAUUCGGGCUCUGGAUUCAGCCAGCCUGAGGUAUGGCCCAGCUAGUCCCCCUUCUGGUCCUUACAGCCUGGCCCCUCCUGCCCUCAAACCACCAGCCCACUGGCCAUCAAGUAGAAAAUGGAAGUGGCAGCAAAAGUGACUUUUAAAAUACUUUCCCCUACUGACCUAGAUCAAAUCAAUAAGGCAUUGCCUCAUUUCCUGCUUCCUGAGCAGGGCUUACCCCCACUCCUGGAGCAGAUAUUUUGGGGCAGCUGUGAGGCUGAAUUCCAGAGUGCCCCAGAGGAGGCAGCCAGGCCAGUGUGUGCCCAGCAGAUGGGCACACGGUGGGCUCCUGCUGAAGUCUGCUGGGUGGGGACCGCCAGGACGGAGCAAGCAGCAGCGCAGAUAGAAGACACCAGACCUUUUGUAUCCUUGUUUUCUGAGGCCCCAUCCUACAGGAUUUGUACAGCUUAACAUGUUAGAUGCCUUAUGAGUUUCUAAAAAAAAAUUUUUUUUGGCCUCCCUGCUGCACAUGGAGUUCUGGGGACAGGGAUCCUUAACCCACUGGGCCUGGCCGGGGAUUGAACCUACGUCCCAGUGCUCCCAAGAUGCCGCCAAUCCUGUUGUGCCACAGCAGGAACAACGAGUCUUUCAAAUUUGCAAGCAAAACCAGUGACCUCUCAUGUUUCAGACUUCCCUUGGGUUAGAACAGAAGGCAGAACAGGGUGAGGCAGCAGGGAGCUUCUAGGGUGCACAGACAGCCACUUCUCCCCAUCAAACAUAUAUUUGACCAAGAAGCUAGGUGGGAUUUUCUUUUGCUUCUUUUUAGAGCUGCAUCUGCCGCAUAGGAGAGGGGUUGAAUCGGAGCUGGAGCUGCAGCUGCUGGCCUACACCACAGCUCGUGGCAAUGAUGGAUCCUUAACCCACCAACUGAGGCCAGAGAUUGAACCCACAACCUCAUAGAUACCAGUAGGGUUCCUUUCCGCUGAACCACAAUGGGAACUCCUUAGAUGGGUUUUUUAAAGAUGUGUUUCUACUUCCAUGAAUAUUGUGAAGUCCACUUUAUAGAGGCUGAUAUAAUGAUGUGGGAUACCAGGGUUUUAUUUUUUGAAGUUUCCUAGAGAAAAUAUAAUCUCAAAUACCCUUACACUCAAGUUGUUCCAAAGACCAGUCCUCAGGGAAAGGAGUGGAGAAGCAGGAAGCUGGGAACCUCCUCUUAGUUGGGAUGAACUUCCUCUUGGUGGUGCCAGUCCUGGAAGGGUGUCCAGUGCGAGCACGUGUUGUUCAAGCUUAUCCUACUUUUUGACAGUUUAAGUUAUUUAGAAUUGAUUCUUUAUGUUCUUUGGGAAAUAAUGCCAAUCCUUGGAGCUUUCUUAUCCUACUUAUCAGAAUAACAAUAAACUCUUGGCCUGGGGGAGGCCAGACCAAGAGUUACUGUCAUGAUGAAACAUCAAAAUUAAACCAAGCACAUUUUAGCGCUU
rnacentral:lncRNA from 1 species